GACGAACGCUGGCGGCGUGCUUAACACAUGCAAGUCGAACGGAAAGGCCCUGCUUUUGUGGGGUGCUCGAGUGGCGAACGGGUGAGUAACACGUGAGUAACCUGCCCUUGACUUUGGGAUAACUUCAGGAAACUGGGGCUAAUACCGGAUAGGAGCUCCUGCUGCAUGGUGGGGGUUGGAAAGUUUCGGCGGUUGGGGAUGGACUCGCGGCUUAUCAGCUUGUUGGUGGGGUAGUGGCUUACCAAGGCUUUGACGGGUAGCCGGCCUGAGAGGGUGACCGGCCACAUUGGGACUGAGAGACGGACCAGACGCCUACGGGAGGCAGCAGUGGGGAAUAUGGCACAAUGGGCGGAAGCCUGAUGCAGCAACGCCGGGUGCGGGAUGACGGCCUUCGGGUUGUAAACCGCUUUCGCCUGUGACGAAGCGUGAGUGACGGUAAUGGGUAAAGAAGCACCGGCUAACUACGUG
rnacentral:rRNA from 1 species